GUAAAUAUAGUUUAAAUAAAACACUAGAUUGUGAAUCUAAUAAUAGAAGCUUAAAUCUUCUUAUCUACC
rnacentral:tRNA from 1 species